UGCGCAUGCGCUGCUUUCAACAGAUAAGCGCGUUGGCGGUGGACCAGUAACAGUUGUCAGUGUUGGCUAUUUCCUACGUGCACCGUAUGAGUAUAUAAUAAUAUGAGCGUGUGGAAAUUAAUUUUCUUCACCUGCCGAAUAGCGACUGUAGAAUCUAUAUUAUACGAGGCAGAUAUCAAUGUACAGCGUAAUGUACUUUGCCGCAGUACAGUCCAGUGAAUCGAUCGAGCCACAGCGUUCCAUGAUAGGCAAGUGUUGUGACUCUGGUGGUGCACACUGUACAGUGUAUCUGUACAGUGUACACUGUACACCACAUAAAUGCGUGUUCUCCACAGUCAGUUGUAACACUCACCCGGCGUGCUGCGUGUACGUACACUGACAAGCGUAUGGGCCAGUGGCGGCGCGCGCGGCCUGGGAAUCUGCCGUCGCCCGUAUAGAUUGUACGUGUCAACAAGCGGAGCGCAUGUGGCAGCCUGCCAACCGCCCCAACGGAAGGAACAACCGCUUGCACCGGCUGUGCGAUGCGCUGCUCCGACGAGAGGCACGCCGCCGGGCAGUGCUACGUCGCUGGACAGCGCACUGGAUAGCAGGAUACUGCUUAUAGACAUUUGUAUUAAUAAUCUAUGUUAUGUACUACUGCACACUAGAUCUCCACACCGGAAAUGAUCGUAUAAUAUUAUGUCACUAUCACCCUGUACAUGGAAAAGUGCAUGCGUCGACGCUUCUCGCAUUGCGGACACUUUCGCGAUAAUAUGAAUUCGUAUACCGGACCGUAAUCUCCAAUACAAGCUUGUAUAAAAACACUACCCGAGUAGGGUAAUGGAUUGGAUUCAGAGGGACGCAGGAAUCCGGGUAUUGCGACACGCGACACGCCCCCUUUCUAGUGGUCUCUCUGUUACAGUUACAUGUGUGUGUGAAUCGGUAUAAAUUGGGAAAUGUUAAGCGCUAACGUGUGUCACUUGCUGCGUAAAAAAAAUUUCAGCAUAAAAGUUGUUUUACUGUAUACUUUUGUAACGUUGUGUGGUGACCCAUGACCUUUAGCCUUUUGACGCCAUCGUGAUACCGUAUGUUGACAGCAGCUUGCAGAUGCCUUUGAUGCAUAAAUCGCAUGGAUUUAACCAUGUCUGCGUUUGUUAAAGCAUGUGUCGGGUGUGUAUGUGCUGAUUGCGUUCAACCAGUUAGUAAGAAGAAGUUGGAUCGCAUGAACCGUCAACACGUCAACCGUCCCAUUUGUGAUGUGGAAAGAAAGCAUGCCCGUAACCCGAAGAUGGAAAGGAAAUCGGCCUUGGACCACUACUUGUUGCCACCUACUCUGCAUCAGCCGCUCAACCUUGCGGACUUGAUUCCAUGGCCUAAGCCUACUUGGCGGAAUUCCGUCAAAGCUCCGAGCCAGGACAUCGCAGUUGCCGAGCCCGUUAUGGAGUUUUCGUCCACGGUCCAUAAAUGUUCCUUAACAGUGGAAGAUGCCACCAAAUUACCGCCGUACGGACUUUUCCGGGAUUUCCUACGCAAACCUUGCUGAAGAGAUCGCCGCGCUGUUUCUUACUUCGAAACGCCGGUAACCUUUGCUCACUUUAAUCACGACCUUUAUGGUGUUUCCGGAGAAUUACUUCUGUCUGCCUCCUACCUAAAUAAAAAAUUUUCCUUUGACCCGGAUUCUUCGUCUUCGCUUAAUUGUCUUCUGCUGCCAUUGAAUUCUUACCGCUUUUGCUGCCGUGACCUGUCUGCCUUUCACAUUCCGGAUCUUCAACCCGUUUGUUGUAUUGUGCAACUUUUACGUGGCAUAGAUUACUUCUUUACUCCCGGAACCGUGCUGCUUGCGGUUGACCUGUGGAAUUCCCAGAUCUACCGAAAAGUUUUGCUUAUCGUUUUCUAUUAACAGUAGGACGCAGAUGCGACAGGAAUUCCGUCGCUACCUGCUUGUGUACGUGAUUCAUCGAUUGCGGACAUCUAUUUUGUGAGCCGUGCUGUACUUGACGUGAUUUCCGUCGGAACAGCAUUUUAACUUAUUAGCAGCAUCCCAAUCCAGGAAUCAGGCGUGAGUUUAGCUAGGUCUGUGGGAAACCCCAGACCAACUAAAAGCGUUCGUCUGUGUUGCUUAUUGCCGCCGGACGCGACAGGACUUCCUUGCAACCGGCUUUAUUAUAUUUUUCGUGCAAAUGUACUUCGCUCGGUGGAUUCCGCCCUAAGCUGUACUGAUUUGCGUUUUAUGUGGAGCACUUGAUUUACAAAUAUUUUCGAGAUUUGCGGAAUUCCGCACCUCACUUAUCGUUCUGACAUAGCUGCAUCAUCGUUGCGACUGAUUCUAUCAACUAGCAUCCUCAUAACGCUUUAUCGGAUCUUCUUCCGCCGUCUCUUUGUGUUUUGUUUUGGCUUUUUGGGCUUGGGGCCGUUUCCGGCCAUGUUCGGCAUAACUGCCCAAAGGAAGUAAAUUCCGAGCCCACCUUUGGUGUUCUCGCGUGGCGUGUAGGAGCAAUGGAUUGGAUUCAGAGGGACGCAGGAAUCCGGGUAUUGCGACACGCGACACGCCCCCUUUCUAGUGGUCUCUCUGUUACAGUUACAUGUGUGUGUGAAUCGGUAUAAAUUGGGAAAUGUUAAGCGCUAACGUGUGUCACUUGCUGCGUAAAAAAAUUUUUUUUCUGUUUUUGUUGUCUUGUGAUGGCUUGGGGCCGUUUCCGGCCAUGUUCGGCAUAACUGCCCAAAGGAAGUAAAUUCCGAGCCCAC